GGAUGAACGCUGGCGGCGUGCUUAACACAUGCAAGUCGAACGAAGCACUCUAUUACAAUUUCUUCGGAAUGACGAUUUAGUGACUGAGUGGCGGACGGGUGAGUAACGCGUGGGUAACCUGCCCUGGAGUGGGGGACAACAGUUGGAAACGACUGCUAAUACCGCAUAAGCCCACGGUACCGCAUGGUACUGAGGGAAAAGGAUUUAUUCGCUCUAGGAUGGACUCGCGUCCAAUUAGCUAGUUGGUGAGGUAACGGCCCACCAAGGCGACGAUUGGUAGCCGGACUGAGAGGUUGAACGGCCACAUUGGGACUGAGACACGGCCCAGACUCCUACGGGAGACAGCAGUUAGGAAUAUUCGUCAAUGGGGGAAACCCUGAACGAGCAAUGCCGCGUGAAGGAUGACGGUCCUUUGGAUUGUAAACUUCUGUUGUUAGGGAAGAACAAGCUGUAUAGGAAAUGAUACAGUUCUGACGGUACCUUUCAAGAAAGCUCCGGCUAACUACGUGCCAG
rnacentral:rRNA from 1 species